ACACAUGCAAGUCGAGGCGCAGCAGGAUCUAGCAAUAGAUUGCUGGCGACCGGCGCACGGGUGAGUAACACGUAUCCAACCUGCCGAUAACUCGGGGGAUAGCCUUUCGAAAGAAAGAUUAAUACCCGAUGGUAUAAUCAGACCGCAUGGUCUUGUUAUUAAAGAAUUUCGGUUAUCGAUGGGGAUGCGUUCCAUUAGGCAGUUGGUGAGGUAACGGCUCACCAAACCUUCGAUGGAUAGGGGUUCUGAGAGGAAGGUCCCCCACAUUGGAACUGAGACACGGUCCAAACUCCUACGGGAGGCAGCAGUGAGGAAUAUUGGUCAAUGGGCGCAGGCCUGAACCAGCCAAGUAGCGUGAAGGAUGACUGCCCUAUGGGUUGUAGACUGCUUUUAUAGGGGGAUAAAGUGUGCCACGUGUGGCAUAUUGCAGGUACCCUAUGAAUAAGGACCGGCUAAUUCCGUGCCAGCAGCCGCGGUAAUACGGAAGGUCCGGGCGUUAUCCGGAUUUAUUGGGUUUAAAGGGAGCGUAGGCCGUCUUAUAAGCGUGUUGUGAAAUGUCGGGGCUCAACCUGGGCAUUGCAGCGCGAACUGUCAGACUUGAGUGCGCAGGAAGUAGGCGGAAUUCGUCGUGUAGCGGUGAAAUGCUUAGAUAUGACGAAGAACUCCGAUUGCGAAGGCAGCCUGCUGUAGCGCAACUGACGCUGAAGCUAGAAAGCGUGGGUAUCGAACAGG
rnacentral:rRNA from 1 species